rnacentral:rRNA from 1 species
AUUGAACGCUGGCGGAAUGCUUUACACAUGCAAGUCGAACGGCAGCACGGACUUCGGUCUGGUGGCGAGUGGCGAACGGGUGAGUAAUGUAUCGGAACGUGCCCAGUCGUGGGGGAUAACGUAGUGAAAAUUACGCUAAUACCGCAUACGAUCUAUGGAUGAAAGCGGGGGAUCGCAAGACCUCGCGCGAUUGGAGCGGCCGAUAUCAGAUUAGGUAGUUGGUGGGGUAAAGGCCCACCAAGCCAACGAUCUGUAGCUGGUCUGAGAGGAAGACCAGCCACAAUGGAACUGAGACACGGUCCAGACUCCUACGGGAGGCAGCAGUGGGGAAUUUUGGACAAUGGGCGAAAGCCUGAUCCAGCCAUUCCGCGUGCAGGAUGAAGGCCCUCGGGUUGUAAACUGCUUUUGUACAGAACGAAAAGGUUUCUACUAAUACUAGGAGCUCAUGACGGUACUGUAAGAAUAAGCACCGGCUAACUACGUGCCAGCAGCCGCCGUAA